rnacentral:misc_RNA from 1 species
GAUGAAGAACGCAGCGAAAUGCGAUAAGUAGUGUGAAUUGCAGAAUUCAGUGAAUCAUCGAAUCUUUGAACGCACAUUGCGCCCCUUGGUAUUCCAUGGGGCAUGCCUGUUCGAGCGUCAUUUGUACCUUCAAGCUUUGCUUGGUGUUGGGUGUUUGUCUCGCCUUUGCGUGUAGACUCGCCUUAAAAUAAUUGGCAGCCGGCGUAUUGAUUUCGGAGCGCAGUACAUCUCGCGCUUUGCACUCAUAACGACAGCGUCCAAAAGUACAUUUUACACUCUUGACCUCGGAUCAGGUAGGGAUACUCGCUGAACUUAAGCAUAUCAAUAAGCGGAGGA